UGUUACUUUGCUUUAAUUCUAGUAUUAUUUGAUUGUUUUAAAUAAUUAGGAAACUAGGACUUCUUUCUAUUGGUUUAUUAGGUAGUUUAUCAUUUCAAGUAAUUGAAUCUCUAAAUAUCUUUUUUUUAUUUUUGGAAGUUUAUUUCUCUUUAAGUGUAAGGCCAUUGGCCAUCGUUUUUAGUCAAUGAAAAUUAUUAUUGAAAGAAAGCCAAAAGUUGUCGCCCCUCUCUCACGAUUUCUCUCUCGCCUCUCACUAUUUCCCUUCUUUUCUCGAUUUCUUUCUCUUUUCUCUCUCGUUAGUCCCCCUCUCUCGCUAUUCUCUCUUUCUCCUCAUCCCUCUCUCUCUUUCACUUCCCUGUUCUAUCGAUUACUGUUCUGGUUUGCUGCGGUUACUGAGUAUUGCAGAUUGGAGAUCAACUCAGUUGCAAAAUCUUCAUCAGAAUGCUGCUGAACAUUCAAUCACCAAACUGGAAUUUUUCCUUCAUUAAAUAAGGUGGACUACACUUUUAUUUUGGAGGACCUUGAAUGCUUCUUUUCUCCUCAGACUGACAGCAGAACAAGAUACAGAGCAUAAGACUGUAUUAGUCCACAUGACAAGAUGGGGUAGCUGAAGGGAAGAGUGUUGCAUAUACAAAAGCACCUAUAACUCAACUCAAUGAAGCUUUUUCUCAACUAAAUGAGAAUGUUGCAUACACCACUGCUCAGCCUCAGUGAAGGAGGCCAUGUAUGAAGAAAUGAUAGCUUUUGGGAGGAAUAGCAGAAAGGAGUUGAAAAGCCUUCAAGGGAGAAGGAAGCAUAGGCUACAAGUAG